rnacentral:rRNA from 1 species
CAGUGCCUACGGGAGGCAGCAGUGGGGAAUAUUGCACAAUGGGGGAAACCCUGAUGCAGCGACGCCGCGUGAAGGAAGAAGUAUUUCGGUAUGUAAACUUCUAUCAGCAGGGAAGAAAGUGACGGUACCUGACUAAGAAGCCCCGGCUAACUACGUGCCAGCAGCCGCGGUACUACGUAGGGGGCAAGCGUUUUCCGGAUUUACUGGGUGUAAAGGGAGCGUAGGCGGCGAUGCAAGUCAGAAGUGAAAACCCGGGGCUCAACUCCGGGACUGCUUUUGAAACUGUAUGGCUAGAUUACAGGAGA